UGAACGCUGGCGGCGUGCCUAAUACAUGCAAGUCGAGCGAACGGACGAGAAGCUUGCUUCUCUGAUGUUAGCGGCGGACGGGUGAGUAACACGUGGAUAACCUACCUAUAAGACUGGGAUAACUUCGGGAAACCGGAGCUAAUAACGGAUAAUAUUUUGAACCGCAUGGUUCAAAAGUAAAAGACGGUCUUGCUGUCACUUAUAGAUGGAUCCGCGCUGCAUUAGCUAGUUGGUAAGGUAACGGCUUACCAAGGCAACGAUGCAUAGCCGACCUGAAAGGGUGAUCGGCCACACUGGAACUGAGACACGGUCCAGACUCCUACGGGAGGCAGCAGUAGGGAAUCUUCCGCAAUGGGCGAAAGCCUGACGGAGCAACGCCGCGUGAGUGAUGAAGGUCUUCGGAUCGUAAAACUCUGUUAUUAGGGAAGAACAUAUGUGUAAGUAACUGUGCACAUCUUGACGGUACCUAAUCAGAAAGCCACGGCUAACUACGUG
rnacentral:rRNA from 1 species